GAUGAACGCUGGCGGCGUGCUUAACACAUGCAAGUCGAACGGAAAGGCCGAAGCUUGCUUCGGUACUCGAGUGGCGAACGGGUGAGUAACACGUGGGUGAUCUGCCCUGUACUUCGGGAUAAGCUUGGGAAACUGGGUCUAAUACCGGAUAUGACGAUCUCUUGGAUGGGGUUGUGGAAAGCUUUUGCGGUUUGGGAUGAGCUCGCGGCCUAUCAGCUUGUUGGUGGGGUAAUGGCCUACCAAGGCGUCGACGGGUAGCCGGCCUGAGAGGGUGUACGGCCACAUUGGGACUGAGAUACGGCCCAGACUCCUACGGGAGGCAGCAGUGGGGAAUAUUGCACAAUGGGCGCAAGCCUGAUGCAGCGACGCCGCGUGGGGGAUGACGGCCUUCGGGUUGUAAACUCCUUUCGCAAUCGACGAAGCCUUUUGGUGACGGUAGGUUGAGAAGAAGCACCGGCUAACUACGUG
rnacentral:rRNA from 1 species